rnacentral:misc_RNA from 1 species
UCGAGCUCAUCCACAGCAUCCGCGCAUUCUGCCUUCUGCGUUACUGACCAUUCUCUCGCGCUCCCCUCUCUCUGUGCUCUCCCCUCUGCCGCACUUCGCUAUCAGACCAUGUCGCUCGUCCGGAAGACACUCGCCGUCCUGCUGGCGAUCGCCCUCCUCGCCGUCUGCGCGAAGGCGGAGGUGGUCGAGCUCAACCCGGCGAACUUUCACAACGUUGUGAAGGACCCGUCCAAGAACGUCUUCGUCAUGUUCUACGCCCCGUGGUGCGGCCACUGCAACAACAUGAAGCCGACGUGGCUGGAGCUGGCGGACAAGUACCCCAUCGUGGGGGACGUCAUCAUCGCCCGCAUCGACGCCAGCGAGUACCGCGGCAUCGCGAAGGAGUUCGACAUCCAUGGCUUCCCGACACUGAAGUUUUUCUCCAAGAGGGACAAAUCAGGUAAAAUGGAGUACGAGGGCCCGCGCGAGCUCUCCGCCUUCGUGGCGUACGUGGCGGCCAACAAGCAGUGAAGAUGCACCGCCGCAACGGUGCACCUUCGCCAGGCGGUAAUUUUAGAAUGCUGCCGCGACGCAACAGAGUGCCAGAGCAAGACGACCGGACGGAGGAGGGGCCAGGGGCAGCGUGGGCGGUGAGUCGGUGAGGCGCGGCGACGUGGAUCACACGGCGAGGACAGGCAAGACGCCCCCUAGUGGCAUCGACAGCAUUGCACGUACAGGCAACGGGCCUACGCACAGUAUGCAGGCGGGUCUGCAUGUGCGCAUGGGUCUAUGCCCCCGACACCCGUCCAGGAGAGACCUUCGCUGCCUACGCUCUUCCCUAUCACGCUCAUCCCUGCCAUCAACGUGCCGUUCACUCGUCUUCCUCAUCCCGCCUGCCCCUCCAUGCAUCCUCCUCCGUCCAUCGCGGGCGCCCCACUCUCUCUGCGCGCCGCCUCUCUGCCUCUUUAUUUUUUGUAUUUCUUUCUGUAUGUUCGGUGGUCUUAUCAUCGACGCCUCCUACACGCGCGUGCACGCGCACACGCCAUGGUGACGAGGUGCACGGCUGAAUCCUCUGGCGGUGAGAAUCGCUGCAUGACAGCACCUGCACGCGAGGCACAGAGGGCUGGAUGCCUGCCUCUUUAUCUUGCGUAGAUGU